UACGGGGGGGGCAAGCGUUGUUCGGAAUUACUGGGCGUAAAGGGCCCGUAGGCGGCCAACUAAGUCGGAUGUGAAAUCCCCAAGCUUAACUUGGGAACUGCAUCCGAUACUGGAUGGCUUGAAUCCGGGAGAGGGAUGCAGAAUUCCAGGUGUAGCGGUGAAAUGCGUAGAUAUCUGGAGGAAUACCGGUGGCGAAGGCGGCAUCCUGGACCGGCAUUGACGCUGAGGAGCGAAAGCUAGGGGAGCAAACGGGG
rnacentral:rRNA from 1 species